AAACCCUCGGGAUUGUAAUUUGAAGAUUUGGCAUUGGAGAAAGCUAACCCAAGUUGCUUGGAAUAGUACGUCAUAGAGGGUGACAACCCCGUCUGGCUAACCGUUCUCCAUGUAUUGCCUUAUCAAAGAGUCGAGUUGUUUGGGAAUGCAGCUCAAAGUGGGUGGUAAACUCCAUCUAAAGCUAAAUACUGGUGAGAGACCGAUAGCGAACAAGUACUGUGAAGGAAAGGUGAAAAGAACUUUGGAGAGUGAAAUAGUAUGUGAAAUUGUUGAUAGGGAAGGAAAUGAGUGGAGAGUGGCCGAGGUUUCAGCCGCCCCUCGUGGGCGGUGUACUGCCGACGCCGAGUCAUCGAUAGCGAGACGAGGGUUACAAAUGGGAGCGCCUUCGGGCGUUCUCCCCUAACCCUCCACACUGCCACCGACGACAUAAUCCACCCAUUUCACCCGUCUUGAAACACGGACCAAUU
rnacentral:rRNA from 1 species